AUUGAACGCUGGCGGCAGGCCUAACACAUGCAAGUCGAGCGAGCGGCGGACGGGUGUGUAAUGUAGGGGGAUCUGCCCGAUAGCGGGGGAUAACUACUGGAAACGGUGGCUAAUACCGCAAAACAUCGGCUUAAUCAACAUGGGACUAGCUAGUGGGUGGGGUAAAGGCUCACCUAGGCAACGAUCUAGAGAUGGUCUGAGAGGGUGAUCAGCCACACUGGAACUGAGACACUGCCCAGACUCCUACGGGAGGCAGCAGUGGGGAAUCUUGCACAAUGGGCGCAAGCCUGACGCAGCCAUGCCGCGUGUAUGAAGAAGGCCUUCGGGUUGUAAAGUACUUUCAGCGGGGAGGCGUUACCCACAGAAAAAGCACCGGCUAACUCCGUGCCAGCAGCCGCGGUAAUAC
rnacentral:rRNA from 1 species